GACGAACGCUGGCGGCGUGCUUAACACAUGCAAGUCGAACGGAAAGGCCCUGCUUUUGUGGGGUGCUCGAGUGGCGAACGGGUGAGUAACACGUGAGUAACCUGCCCUUGACUUUGGGAUAACUUCAGGAAACUGGGGCUAAUACCUGAUAGGAGCUCCUGCUGCAUGGUGGGGGUUGGAAAGUUUCGGCGGUUGGGGAUGGACGCGCGGCUUAUCAGCUUGUUGGUGGGGGAGUGGGUUACCAAAGCUUUGACGGGUAGCCGGGCUGAGUGGGUGACCGGGCAAAAUGGGGGCGGGAGAAGGGCCAGAACCCAACAGGGGGGAAGAGGGGGGGAAAAUUUAAAAAGGGGGGGAAGCCUGAGCAGGGAAGGCGGGGUGGGGGAGAGAGGCAUUGGGGGUGAAAACCGUUUUGGCUUGGGAGAAAGCGGAAGGACGGGAAAUGGGUAAAAAGCAACGGCUAACUUCGUG
rnacentral:rRNA from 1 species